rnacentral:rRNA from 1 species
GACAGAGGCCUCGAGCGUUAGGCGGAAUCACUGGGCUUAAAGCGUGUGUAGGCGGAUCGUUAAGUGUCUUGUGAAAUCCCACGGCUCAACCGUGGAACGGCUGGGCAUACUGGCGAUCUUGAGCAGCCUAGGGGCGACCGGAACUUCCGGUGGAGCGGUGAAAUGCGUUGAGAUCGGAAGGAACGCCCGUGGCGAAAGCGAGGUCCUGGACGUCUACUGACGCUGAGACGCGAAAGCUAGGGUAGCGAACGGG